UGGGGAAUAUUGGACAAUGGGCGAAAGCCUGAUCCAGCCAUGCCGCGUGUGUGAAGAAGGUCUUCGGAUUGUAAAGCACUUUACGUUGGGAGGAAGGGCAUUAACCUAAUACGUUAGUGUUUUGACGUUACCGACAGAAUAAGCACCGGCUAACUCUGUGCCAGCAGCCGCGGUAAUACAGAGGGUGCAAGCGUUACUCGGAAUUACUGGGCGUAAAGCGCGCGUAGGUGGUUUGUUAAGUUGGAUGUGAAAUCCCCGGGCUCAACCUGGGAACUGCAUUCAAAACUGACUGACUAGAGUAUGGUAGAGGGUGGUGGAAUUUCCUGUGUAGCGGUGAAAUGCGUAGAUAUAGGAAGGAACACCAGUGGCGAAGGCGACCACCUGGACUAAUACUGACACUGAGGUGCGAAAGCGUGGGGAGCAAACA
rnacentral:rRNA from 1 species